rnacentral:rRNA from 1 species
AUUGAACGCUGGCGGCAUGCUUUACACAUGCAAGUCGAACGGCAGCACGGGCUUCGGCCUGGUGGCGAGUGGCGAACGGGUGAGUAAUAUAUCGGAACGUACCCAGAAGUGGGGGAUAACGUAGCGAAAGUUACGCUAAUACCGCAUACGAUCUAUGGAUGAAAGCAGGGGACCGCAAGGCCUUGUGCUCCUGGAGCGGCCGAUAUCUGAUUAGCUAGUUGGUGAGGUAAAGGCUCACCAAGGCGACGAUCAGUAGCUGGUCUGAGAGGACGACCAGCCACACUGGAACUGAGACACGGUCCAGACUCCUACGGGAGGCAGCAGUGGGGAAUUUUGGACAAUGGGCGCAAGCCUGAUCCAGCAAUGCCGCGUGAGUGAAGAAGGCCUUCGGGUUGUAAAGCUCUUUUGUCAGGGAAGAAACGGUAGAGGCUAAUAUCCUUUGCUAAUGACGGUACCUGAAGAAUAAGCACCGGCUAACUACGU